GAAGCUGAGAGUGUGGGCUCUGGACGCCGACAGCAUGGCUUCCAAUCCUGGCCUGUCCGUCACGUGUAGUUGAUGUGCUGUAAACAGCGACUGCCUACAAGAGAGGUUUGGAAUCUGUUGACUUUGGCUGGGAUGUAGCCUAAGGAGAUUCAUCGGUUUCCAAUUCCUGUUCUCUCAGGAUAUUAAGUAUUGCCAUGAACUGGAAAAUUUUUCUUUAUUAAAAUUGGAGGAAGAGUUGGAGUGUUUUGAAAGAGACCUGGAACAGGAAGGGAGCUGACAUGAGAAGUUCCACUGCAUUGCUUCAGAGAUGAUUUUUAUCUUUUUUGUGUUGCCGGUGCUCAGUGGCUUAAAUCUUCAGUACAACAAGAUAUAGGAAGCUAAUGUACAGAGCGGUCAUAUAACUUGCCCAAGGUCAUCCAGCUAACAGUUGACAGAGA
rnacentral:lncRNA from 1 species